rnacentral:rRNA from 1 species
ACAUGAAGUCGGAGUUGCUAGUAAUCCCGAAUCAGCAUGUCGGGGUGAAUGCGUUCCCGGGUCUUGUACACACCGCCCGUCACGCCAUGGGAGUUGGGAGUACCCAAAGUCGGCGACCUAACCGCAAGGAAGGAACCGCCUAAGGUAAUACCAAUGACUGGGGUGAAGUCGUAACAAGGUAAC